rnacentral:rRNA from 1 species
ACGGGAAUGCUCUAGUACGGCGAGUGAAGCAGCAAUAGCUCAAAUUUGAAAUCUGGCGUCUUCGGCGUCCGAGUUGUAAUUUGUAGAGGAUGCUUCUGWGUAACCACCGACCUAAGUUCCUUGGAACAGGACGUCAUAGAGGGUGAGAAUCCCGUAUGCGGUCGGAAAGGUGCUCUAUACGUAGCUCCUUCGACGAGUCGAGUUGUUUGGGAAUGCAGCUCUAAAUGGGAGGUAAAUUUCUUCUAAAGCUAAAUAUUGGCCAGAGACCGAUAGCGCACAAGUAGAGUGAUCGAAAGAUGAAAAGCACUUUGGAAAGAGAGUUAAAAAGCACGUGAAAUUGUUAAAAGGGAAGGGAUUGCAACCAGACUUGCUCGCGGUGUUCCGCCGGUCUUCUGACCGGUCUACUCGCCGCGUUGCAGGCCAGCAUCGUCUGGUGCCGCUGGAUAAGACUUGAGGAAUGUAGCUCCCUCGGGAGUGUUAUAGCCUCUUGUGAUGCAGCGAGCGCCGGGCGAGGUCCGCGCUUCGGCUAGGAUGCUGGCGUAAUGGUCGUAAUCCGCCCGUCUUA